UACGGAGGGUGCAAGCGUUAUCCGGAUUCACUGGGUUUAAAGGGUGCGUAGGCGGGUAUAUAAGUCAGUGGUGAAAGCUCCGAGCUUAACUUGGAAACUGCCAUUGAUACUGUAUAUCUUGAAUGUCGUUGAGGUUAGCGGAAUGUUGCAUGUAGCGGUGAAAUGCUUAGAUAUGACAUAGAACACCAAUUGCGAAGGCAGCUCACUACGGGAUGAUUGACACUGAGGCACGAAAGCGUGGGGAUCAAACAGG
rnacentral:rRNA from 1 species